CCUACGGGUGGCAGCAGUGGGGAAUAUUGCACAAUGGGGGAAACCCUGAUGCAGCGACGCCGCGUGAGUGAAGAAGUAUUUCGGGAUGUAAAGCCCUAUCAGCAGGGAAGAAAAUGACGGUACCUGACUAAGAAGCCCCGGCUAACUGCGUGCCAGCAGCCGCGGUAAUACGGAGGGGGCAAGCGUUAUCCGGAUUUACUGGGCGUAAAGGGAGCGUAGACGGUGAUGCAAGUCAGAAGUGAAAGCCCGGGGCGCAACCCCGGGACUGCGUUUGAAACUGUGUGGCUGGAGUGCAGGAGAGGGAAGCGGAAUUCCUGGUGUAGCGGUGAAAUGCGUAGAUAUCAGGAGGAACACCAGUGGCGAAGGCGGCUUACUGGACUGUAACUGACGUUGAGGCUCGAAAGCGUGGGGAGCAAACAGGAUUAGAUACCCCGGUAGUC
rnacentral:rRNA from 1 species